rnacentral:lncRNA from 1 species
UCCAGAUGACUAUUUUCUCCUGCGUUGGCUCCGAGGCUCUAGAGCCCAGGUCCUGGUUCCAGCUCUUCCCCAGCCUGGCUGUGGUGCCUUGUUCAGGGUAAAUACUUCCCUAGGAUCCUCCUCUGGAAGAGCAGGACAAGACCUGCCUGCUGCAAGACGUGACAUGACAGAACUCUGCAUGUGGUGUUGAAAUGCACACAUUUCUACUGGCAUGAGGGUCAAAUUCAGCCUGGUGCCCCAAUCC